rnacentral:rRNA from 1 species
CCUACGGUGGGCAGCAGUGAGGAAUAUUGGUCAAUGGACGCAAGUCUGAACCAGCCAUGCCGCGUGCAGGAAGACGGCUCUAUGAGUUGUAAACUGCUUUUGUACGAGGGUAAACGCAGAUACGCGUAUCUGUCUGAAAGUAUCUUACGAAUCAGGCUCGGCUAACUCCGUGCCAGCAGCCGCGGUACUACGGAGGAUGCAAGCGUUAUACGGAUUUAUUGGGUUUAAAGGGUGCGUAGGCGGUCGGAUAAGUUAGAGGUGAAAUCCCGAGGCUCAACUUCGGAAUUGCCUUUGAUACUGGUCGUCUAGAGAGUAGUUGAGGUAGGCGGAAUGUAUGGUGUAGCGGUGAAAUGCUUAGAGAUCAUACAGAACACCGAUUGCGAAGGCAGCUUACCAAGCUACUUCUGACGUUGAGGCACGAAAGCGUGGGGAGCAAACAGGAUUAGAUACCCGAGUAGUC